rnacentral:rRNA from 1 species
GACGAACGCUGGCGGCGUGCUUAACACAUGCAAGUCGAACGGAAAGGCCCUGCUUUUGUGGGGUGCUCGAGUGGCGAACGGGUGAGUAACACGUGAGUAACCUUCCCUUGACUUUGGGAUAACUUCAGGAAACUGGGGCUAAUACCGGAUAGGAGCUCCUGCUGCAGGGUGGGGGUUGGAAAGUUUCGGCGGUUGGGGAUGGACGCGCGGCUUAUCAGCUUGUUGGUGGGGUAGUGGCUUACCAAGGCUUUGACGGAUAGCCGGCAUGAGAGGGUGACCGGGCACAUUGGGACUGAGAUACGGACCAGAGUCCAACGGGAGGCAGUAGUGGGGAAUAUUGCACAAUGGGCGGAAGCCUGAGGCAGCAGCGCCGGGUGCGGGAUGACGGCCUUCGGGUUGUAAACCGCUUUAGCCUGUGACGAAGCGUGAGUGACGGUAAUGGGUAAAGAAGCACCGGCUAACUACGUG